rnacentral:lncRNA from 1 species
UGGCAGGAGCAAGCGUCUGCCGCGGUGGCCGGGUGCCGGUAAGGGUUUCCAGCGCCCCCGGCCUAGGUUUUGGAGGCGCGGGAAUGCGUUCGUUGCUCAGUGUCGGACUUCCCCCUAUUCCCAUCGGCCGAGGCUGUCACUUUACGCUCAUAACCGUUUUUCUUUACUGCACUCGUGUCGGGAGGAAAGGGACUUGCGUGGCACCCCCAGACCUCCCCGUCUCCGCUUCCACGUUUGGUACAUCCUGCCUGAGGCAGGAAGCCGCAGCUGAGGGACGGCCUGUCGUACGAUUUGACAAGAUCAAAGCUGCAGGAAAAUGGACAGUGAGGUUCAGAGAGAUGGAAGGAUCUUGGAUUUGAUUGAUGAUGCUUGGCGAGAAGACAAGCUGCCUUAUGAGGAUGUCGCAAUACCACUGAAUGAGCUUCCUGAACCUGAACAAGACAAUGGUGGCACCACAGAAUCUGUCAAAGAACAAGAAAUGAAGUGGACAGACUUAGCCUUACAGUACCUCCAUGAGAAUGUUCCCCCCAUUGGAAACUGACGCUUGGCUCCUUUCUUGUGGAUGGAUUUUCUCAAAGUACACAGAUAAAGCAUGGUUUGUUUCAGUCUCCAAAUUCAAACCUUUGAGUAAUAAAUCAGCACUCAAAAAUGUACACCCAUUUAGUUUGUGGUAGCAAAGUGCAAUGCGAAAUUGAAUGAGAAACUGAGAUUUCUCAGUAAUGGUGAAUAUUUCGCUCUUUAAACCUAAAACUCUUCAUUGAGUAGCUUAUAUUUGAACAUGAUUGGUUAAACAUUUGCCUCUACCUCUGAUUUUGCUUUGCUGUCAAAGUUUAACACCUUCCAACUACUUAUGUGUGUCCUGUAACACAGGUGAUUGAACGUAUGAGAGGGAAAGGCAAAGAAAAAGGAAGCCAGACACUAGGAGAAUUAUUAACUUCUCAUACUUCCCCACAUUGAGAAGCAUUCGGAGUGUAUUUAGCCUGUAGAUGUUGUGAUAUGCAAAUAUCCCAUUCCCUGGUUACUGGCAUUCCUAAGAUUCUUCAUGGUAUUUUCAAACUUUGGAUAAAUUUACAGAUUAGAAAGAUAUCUGACAGUUAAUCUCUGUUCUCCUUACAAAUUCCUUUUGUGCUGCUGGAAAGGAUCUUUGGCUAGGUGGAUGACUAGUUUUAUUCAAAGCCUUUUCUCAAAGCCCUUUCAGUUACAACCACCCCACUAUGGAAUCAGUAUUUAGUUAUACAUUUGUAUAAGAACCUGUAUUUUGAAAAACACAUUCAUGUAUAUUUAUUCCUGGAAUUAUUUGCCUGUUAAACAGUGUCUUUCAUGUUCUCUCCCCAGAUUGUAAACUCUGUAAGAAGCUGCUUGUAUCUGUAUCCCUUGUUGAAACUCUGAAAACACUGAAUAACUAAAAUCUCUUCUCAUC